GGGUCAGGAGGUUGGUCGUGCCACCGGUACGUACUGGUCUCACUGAUUCCUCCUCCCUGAAGAACCGUAAUGCCAUUAAUUUGGUGUUGCGGGGAAACAGGACUGUUACUUUGAAAAAAUUAGAGUGUUUAAAGCAAGCUAACGCGUGAAUACAUUAGCAUGGAAUAAUGAAAUAGGACGAUCGAUCCUAUUUUGUUGGUUUCUAGGAUUGACGUA
rnacentral:rRNA from 1 species